rnacentral:rRNA from 1 species
AGCUCCAAUAGCGUAUAUUAAAGUUGUUGCAGUUAAAAAGUUCGUAGUUGGAUUUGGGGGCAGCUCGAGCGGUCCGCCGAGAGGCGAGCACUGCCCGGGCGCCCUUCCUCUCGGAGGCCCCGUCUGCUCUUUACUGUAGUGGGCGGGAGAUUCGGGACGUUUACUUUGAACAAAUUAGAGUGUUCCAAGCAGGCCGGUGCUUGAAUACAUUAGCAUGGAAUAAUGGAAUAGGACGCCGGUCCUAUUUUGUUGGUUUUCGGGUCUGGUGUCAUGGUUAAUAGGGACAGUUGGGGGCAUUCGUAUUCAAUUGUCAGAGGUGAAAUUCUUAGAUUUAUGGAAGACGAACUACUGCGAAAGCAUUUGCCAAGGAUGUUUUCGUUAAUCAAGAACGAAAGUACGC